rnacentral:misc_RNA from 1 species
UGCCGAGCAAGGGCUCCAAAAAUGAUGCUUGAUCUGCAAUCUAGCGGAAGUCAUAGUGUUGAUGGCAAUUGGAGAGCACUUGGAAAAUUGCUUAUUUACUGCUCAGGAUGUAGCAAGGGUGACCUGUUCAAUAGCAUUCAUAUACCUGGUCAUUUUGUUUAUAGGACUCGGUUUUCUAGGACUUCAGGGAAGAGCUUUCUUUUGCCACAAUGCAGAACAGAUGUUUUGUAUGUCUCUGACCCUUGUGAACAUCUUGACCAGGGGGAAGAAGGUGAUGUUGGUUUUUUCCGUGGAAUUUUCAAGUCAUUCUCCAUGUCAAAGGUUCGGAAGAUGCUGAUUAAAAGGAGGGCCCAGCUUCAUCCAACAGAGGUGUGCCCUUAUU